rnacentral:lncRNA from 10 species
GCCCCUUCUUUCCCCACUUAACACAGCUUCUUAAGAGGGGAAAAUUUGUAUCUGUAGAGAAUCCCCAUUAAUACAGCCAUGCCCCCUCCCCUCUCUAUGCCUUGCCCCAGAUCCAGGGAGAAAUUGAAGGUCUGACCCCUUUAAAAGUCUGAAAAGAAACGGAUACGGUUUGGAUCUGUGUCCCCACCAAUCUCAUGUCAAAUAGUAUUCCCCAGUGUUGGGGGUGAGACCUGGUGGGAGGUGAAUGGAUCUUGGGGGCGGAUUUCUCAUGAAUGGUUUAGCACUAUCACCCGGUACUGCCUUCAUGAUAGCGAAUGAGCAAGUUAUCCUGAGACGUGGUGGUUUAAAAGUAUGUAGCACCCCCCCAGCCUUGCUCUCUUGCUUCUGCUCUUGCCCUGGGAGAUACUUCACUCACCCUUUGCCCUCCACCAUGAUUGGAAGUUCCCUGAGGCCUCCCCAGAAGCAGAAGCUGCUAUGCCUCCUGAACAGCCUAUAGAACGGUGAGCCAACUAAAUCUCUUUCCUUUGUAAAUUACCCCGUCUCAGGUAUUUCUUUAUAGCAGUGCGAGAACAGACUAAUACAGAAAUAUUUACCAUUUAUGCUCUCAAGAGAGGCUUCAUCUACAUAACAAGGCUACCUUUGCUAGCCAAGCCUCUUCUCUCUCUCCUAUAACUUGUUUUUACCAGAAUCGAAGCCCCAACUCUUUCUGUAACCUCAAAAUGGUAUAUAAGUUUCUGUGACUCAUUGAGAAGUUGGGUCUUCAUCCUGAGGGCUUCCAUAUAUGCAUGUUAAAUAAAUUUGUAUACUUUUUCUCCUAUUAACCAAUCCACCCCAUUUCAGUGAUUUUUUGAGAAUCUUUCAGGGGCCCAGAGCCUAUAGCCCCCAGACCACACAAUACUGAUGUUUCCACUGUAAGAAAUUCAUGAAUCUGGACUAAUGGUUAUCCCCUCCAAGUAUUCCCUUUGGUCAUUUUCAUUAUCAGGCUUCAAAAUCAAGGGGGUUGGUGAGCAAUGGCCAUGGAAUAAUAGCCUGGAUAUGGCAGAAGAGAAUGAUGAACCCCACCUCUUUCAUGCCCUGUGAAAUUGAAAAGAUCCUGAAUCCCAGCAAAACAGAUGAUGUCAACAGUUUGAAGACCCCCACAGAGGAACGGAAUCAGUAUGAGAAUCCAGUUUAUUCACCUCCCUGUCCCAUGACUUUACCCUACACUCUUUAACCAAUCAACAAUCUCCACACUUCAGCCCCACUCCAAAACUCUUAAAACCCUAGCCAAAAACUCCUUCAGGAGAUGGAUUUGAGGUUUCCUCUCAUCUCCUGGUUUGGCAGCCCUACGAUUAAACCUCUUUCUCUGCUGCAA